rnacentral:rRNA from 1 species
AGCGAACGCUGGCGGCAGGCCUAACACAUGCAAGUCGAACGAACUCUUCGGAGUUAGUGGCGGACGGGUGAGUAACACGUGGGAACGUGCCUUUAGGUUCGGAAUAACUCAGGGAAACUUGUGCUAAUACAGAAUGUGCCCUUCGGGGGAAAGAUUUAUCGCCUUUAGAGCGGCCCGCGUCUGAUUAACUAGUUGGUGAGGUAACGGCUCACCAAGGCGACGAUCAGUAGCUGGUCUGAGAGGAUGACCAGCCACACUGGGACUGAGACACGGCCCAGACUACUACGGGAGGCAGCAGUGGGGAAUCUUGCGCAAUGGGCGAAAGCCUGACGCAGCCAUGCCGCGUGAAUGAUGAAGGUCUUAGGAUUGUAAAAUUCUUUCACCGGGGACGAUAAUGACGGUACCCGGAGAAGAAGCCCCGGCUAACUUCGUGCCAGCCGCCGCCGUAACAC